GUGCCAGCAGCCGCGGUAAUUCCAGCUCCGAUAGCGUAUAUUAAAGUUGUUGUGGUUAAAAAGCUCGUAGUUGAACCUUGGGCCUGGCUGGCCGGUCCGCCUCACCGCGUGCACUGGUCCGGCCGGGCCUUUCCCUCUGUGGAACCCCAUACCCUUCACUGGGCGUGGCGGGGAAACAGGACAUUUACUUUGAAAAAAUUAGAGUGCUCCAGGCAGGCCUAUGCUCGAAUACAUUAGCUUGGAAUAAUAAAAUAGGACGCGCGGUUCUAUUUUGUUGGUUUAUAGGACCGCCGUAAUGAUUAAUAGGGACAGUCGGGGGCAUCAGUAUUCAACUGUCAGAGGUGAAAUUCUUGGAUCAGUUGAAGACUAACUACUGCGAAAGCAUUUGCCAAGGAUGUUUUCAUUAAUCAGGAACGAAAGUUAGGGGAUCGAAGACGACCAGAUACCGUCGUAGUCUUAACCAUAAACUAUGCCGACUAGGGAUCGGACGGUGUUAUUCAUGACCCGUUCGGCACCUUACGAGAAAUCAAAGUGCUUGGGCUCCAGGGGGAGUAUGGUCGCAAGGCUGAAACUUAAAGAAAUUGACGGAAGGGCACCACCAGGGGUGGAGCCUGCGGCUUAAUUUGACUCAACACGGGGAAACUCACCAGGUCCAGACACAAUAAGGAUUGACAGAUUGAGAGCUCUUUCUUGAUUUUGUGGGUGGUGGUGCAUGGACCGUUCUUAGUUGGUGGGGUGACUCGUCUGCUUAAUUGCGAUAACGAACGAGACCUUAACCUGCUAAAUAGCCCGCAUUGCUCCGGCAGUGCGCUGGCUUCUUAGAGGGACUUUCCGGCUCAAGCCGAA
rnacentral:rRNA from 1 species